UACGUAGGUGGCAAGCGUUGUCCGGAUUUACUGGGCGUAAAGAGCGCGCAGGCGGUCGUUCAAGUCGCGUGUGAAAGCCCACGGCUCAACCGUGGAGGGUCAUUGGAAACUGGGGGACUUGAGUACAGAAGAGGAGAGCGGAAUUCCACGUGUAGCGGUGAAAUGCGUAGAGAUGUGGAGGAACACCAAUGGCGAAGGCAGCCUUCUGGGCCAACACUGACGCUCAUGCACGAAAGCGUGGGGAGCAAACAGG
rnacentral:rRNA from 1 species